rnacentral:rRNA from 1 species
AUUGAACGCUGGCGGCAGGCCUAACACAUGCAAGUCGAGCGAGCGGCGGACGGGUGAGUAAUGUCUGGGCACCUGCCCGAUGGAGGGGGAUAACUACUGGAAACGGUAGCUAAUACCGCAUACUAUCGGAUGACCCCCUAUGGGAUUAGCUCGUUGGUGGGGUAAAGGCUCACCAAGGCGACGAACCCUAGCUGGUCUGAGAGGAUGAUCAGCCACACUGGAACUGAGACACGGUCCAGACUCCUACGGGAGGCAGCAGUGGGGAAUAUUGCACAAUGGGCGCAAGCCUGAUGCAGCCAUGCCGCGUGUAUGAAGAAGGCCUUAGGGUUGUAAAGUACUUUCAGCGGGGAGGCGUUACCCGCAGAAGAAGCACCGGCUAACUCCGUGCCAGCAGCCGCGGUAAUUC